rnacentral:rRNA from 1 species
CACGUAGGGGGCGAGCGUUGUCCGGAUUCAUUGGGCGUAAAGGGCGCGUAGGCGGGAUGGCAAGUCGGUCGUGAAAUCCUUUGGCUCAACCGAAGAACGUCGGCCGAUACUGCCGUUCUUGAGGGAUGCAGAGGAGAUUGGAAUUCCCGGUGUAGCGGUGAAAUGUGUAGAGAUCGGGAGGAACACCGGUGGCGAAGGCGGGUCUCUGGGCAUCUCCUGACGCUGAGGCGCGAAAGCGUGGGGAGCAAACGGG